AAUGUGUUUGAACUCUUGAUAUUUGAUUGAAUCACUUUCAUUUAAUUCAAUUAUUCUCUUAUUUAUAUGUAUUUCAAAUACCUAUGUGUAUAGAUUUUGGAGUGAUUUGGUACAUAUUAUAUGUGAUUGAGUGGAAGUUUGUGAUGAUAUACUAGAUUAAUUUCUGGAAAACUCAGGGGAUGUGUUGGCUCUUUUUUGAUAUCUGGUUGCUUCAAUCUCUCUAUUAAUUUGUUUGCUUGCUCAGAAAUUGGAGGGAAAAAUGGAAAAUGUGAUUUUCAAUAUUGAUAUUUGGUUGCUUCAAUCUCCUUCAAUUUGCUUCUCUCUAUCUCUCUCGGUCUUUGAAUCUCCCUAUAAAUACUUAUCUAGCUUUCUCAUAUUCCAUCUAUAAUUUUGUGAUUUUGGUGGCUUUUAUGCUAUGCUCUAAAGGAAUAAGUGAAAACCUUGUAAACUUAGAAAUUUUAGUGAAGAAUUCUGACCUUUUAGUGCCUAAGCAAGUCUUUUAAAUGCUUUUUUAUAUAUGUAAGUAUAUAUGUAGUGCCUUCUGGCGUUAAAUUGCUUGGUUAAAACUCCAUGUUUUGUGUUGAAAUACUCAAAUUACAUUGAUUGUUGUUUUUCUUAUUUCUAGAAAGAUUAUUUUAGGAAGUAAUGUUAUAAUUGAAGACCAGGAGAAAAAAUUUCAAGUUUUUGUAAUGUGUAUAAGUUCUACAUGUGGGUAAGAGGGAAAAAAAAAAGGUCAUAAAAUAAGAUGUGGUGUGUUGUGUAAACUGAAGAAAAGCAAAGAGCUCAAAGCUCUAGUAGAAAAAAUAGAUAGAAGGAAGUUAGUGGAGUUUGGUUCUGUUAUGUUAGGUAAAAAGGUCUUGUAAACAUUGUUUUAGUCUCCUUUCACUUGAAUGUGAAAAUGAAGUGCAUAUGUAAUUGUUGAAGUGAAUUUGGUUCUUUUCCAGGACUUGUAUUCUAAGGUCUGCUGAAUCUGGCCAAUCGUAUUCUAAGGUCCAUGAUAAAGCUACACAGGAAGUGAGCUCUUAGACGUGCUGUCCUGGAACAAAAGCACCUCAUUUAGAAGAAGAUGAUAAAUUCUAUCAGGACUUCAAUAUGAAUGAAGUUGACUUGAAUAUUGAGAACUAUGAAGAAAUAUUUGGUGUAGCUCUUAAUGAUCCAGCACAACUGUUUAGUCCUUCAUCUCUUUCUGCUUUAUAAUGUGUCACUGUCAAUGCAUAGUUCUAACAUCUUUGUCCCAUUGAGUUGUGAGAAAUGGAACUUUGUUCAUAAAUAUUGCUUUCUUUCCUAUCUGCCAAAUUUUGGUCAAAUGGAAUGUUCUUGGUGGAUAUGGUUCCUUUUGGUAUAUGCAUGAGCUUUGUGCCCCCUAGUGACUAUCUAUGGGACUCGAACCCAUGACCUCCAGUCCAUCAGGCUACCACCCUUGGGUGAUAAUGAAACUUGUCACUCAGCUCCAAUAUUUGAUUGGGGUCAUCAAUUGGACUAGUUAAGUCAAUGCAGCCGGCUAUCAGCAAUCUGGCAUCUGUUGAUUCCGUGAUAAGCUCUAAAACUGAUCCAAACCUUUGCUUUGCAACGCAUGCCCUUUCCAGCAUCUCAUUUUCUGGUCGUAGCGUGGAGU